rnacentral:lncRNA from 10 species
GAUGAUUUUAUAAGGGAUUUCCCCUUUCUUUUCGCUCUCAUUCCCUCUUGUCUGCUGCCAUGUGUCUUGUGUCUUUCACCAUGAUUGUGAGGCCUCCCCUGCCGCGUGGAACUGUCCUUGCAUUUUCAAGAUCAUCCAUCUGUAAUCUUCACACCUGAACUGAAACGAGCCAGGGCGUGUUCUCAUUUAGAGUACUACGCAUGAGAAGGUCAUUUAUUUCAUUUUUUAAAUAAUCAUAGGAACUUCUCAUAGUUGUUAUCCUGUCUCUUCUCAUUUCACUCAUAUUAGACAAGGCAGCUCUUCUCUUUGCCCAUGUGUGAGCUCUCCUUGAAUCUCUUCUUAUCUGCGAUCUAAGAGUGUUGUCUUACCUUCAGAUGGUCAACGUGAAGAAUGGGUAUUGAUAGGUCACACUCACUCUGCUCUUUGUUUAUCUGAGAUUGAGAAGCUAGAGAGAGGAAGCUAUGGGCAGUUAGGAAGAAGUUGGUCUCUUCUCUAUUUUCCUAUUGAUUUUAUAAAAUCCUGUUCUGUAUUUUGUUUUUUCUAGUGAAAUGUUGACUUCUCUCCUUAAUUCAGAGUGAGCUGCUGAAUCUUCCCUCUACAAAAUAUCACUCAUUCUUACUAGGCUUUAUUCCUCUUUCCACUGAAUAUUGAGCUUCUAAGUUCAAAUGGGAGUCUUUCAGGCUAGCCAUUAACUUUUCCUGUUCUGUAAAUGCCAAGAUAAAAUAUUAUGAGAGAUUAAAUUAGUAAAUCUAGUUAGAUUUUUUCUUAUAAUGAAAAUACAAGCUGGAAAAUUGGAGAAUGCUGUACAACCCUUCCAAACUCCAACAUGUUCAUAAGCUCAACUUUCUUAAAUUGAUAUUAAUAUUGUCAUUUCUUACUAACAAGGACUGCAGAUAAGCUUUAGGGACUCUUUUUUCCUUUCUUUCUUUUUAUUUCAACCUGUUGACAUAUAGGCAACAUGUCCACUAUACCAUGAUUUUAAGUGCUCCUUUCAAAUUCAUAUCUAGCCCUUCUUCCUAACCCAUUUUGGGGGUAAAAAGUUGCUGAGUUCAAAGUCCUAACAUCCUAAAGGACUUCUUUCUAAAUUAAGUGCCAUAAAGUUCUUAUCAAAGAAUAUAUGGAUUUACGCUAUCAAAGGCUUCCAUAGAAACCUCUAAUUUGACUCAAAUGAAAAGUUUAGUCCUUUUAAAAUGAAAACAUUAAAGCAAUAAGGUGAAAGCAUCACUUCCAUUGAUUUAGUAACCAGUGACUUCUAAGUGACUUUUAAAUUUGAAUCUCUUUUAAAAACCAGAAACAGGCCGGGCACGGUGGUUCACACCUGUAAUCCCAGCACUGUGGGAGGCCAAGGCGGGUGGAUCACGAGGUUAGGAGAUCGAGACCAUCCUGGCUAACACAGCGAAACCCUGUCUCUACUAAAAAUAAAAAAAACUAACCGGGAGUGGUGGUGGGUGCCCGUAGUCCCAGCUACUCAGGAGGCUGAGGCAGGAGAAUGGUGUGAACCCGGGAGGCGGAUCUUACAGUGAGUCGAGAUCGCGCCACUGCACUCCGGCCUGGGCAACAGAGCGAGACUCUGUCUCAAAAAAAUAAAUAAAUAAAAAUAAAAACCAGAAACAUACUGGCAAAUUCCGGUAGUCUACCUUUAUAUGGACACUGUAUUCUCACUUCAAAUCCAGUAGGGCCAAAAGAAAACUCAUAUUCUCCCUGUUGAACUGGUGUCUUUUUCUGAUUCGUCAUCUAUAACAUUUCUGCCAUUAUAUAUACACAAUGAAGCUUAACAAUCUUCUUUAUUUCUCCCUUUAUCAAAGAGUUCAUUGGUUAAUCAGUCACUCAGUUCUAAAGAUUUUUCUCCACCUUGGGAAUUAAAUCAUAUUUCUUCCUGUCCGUUCACACACACAUACCACUGAGAAAUGCGAGCCCAGGUUACUUUUCUCCCAAUCUCCCAAGCUAUCUUAAUAACAGCCAAUCUCCUCAUGAUUAGGCUCUCACUUUGCCAUCCCAAUUAAAGUUUUGACCAUGUCACCACCAACUUAAAAAACGUUCCAUGGUUCUCCAAUACCUUCUCAACCUCCUUUUGUUGUUUCAAUAUCCCCCACGAUCUGGUCCAAUCUCCCUGUCAACAUCAUCUCACAAAAGUAUACACAGUCAAGCCACAAUGCUUUAUUCACUAUUCUCCAACCACAUUUCAUGUCUUUCAUGAUGACACUUCUUCUGUCGAGGCUCCUGUGUUUAUUGCCACACUAUUCACAGUAGGAAAGAUAUGAAUCAACACGUGUGUUCAUCAGGCCCGGCGCAGUGGCUCACGCCUGUAAUCCCAGCACUUUGGGAGGACAAGACUGGCGGCUCACGAGGUCAGGAGAUCGAGACCAUCCUGGCUAACACGGUGAAACCCCGUCUCUACUAAAAAUAAAAAAAAAAUUAGCCAGGCUUGGUGGUGGGCGCCUGUAGUCCCAGCUACUCGGGAGUCUGAGACCGGAGAAUGGCGUGAACCUGGAGGUGGAGCUUGCAGUGAGCCGAGAUCACGCCACUACAAUCCAGCCUGGGCGACAGAGCAAGACUCCGUCUCAAAAAAAAAAAAAAAGUGUUCAUCAAUGGAUAAUGAGAUAAACAAAAUGUGGUGUGUGUGCGCGCACACACACACACACACACACACACACAGCCAUGUAAAAAGAAUGAAAUCCUGUCUUUUGCCGCAAUAUGGAUGGAACUGCAGGCCAUUACCUUAAGUGGAAUAACUCAGAAACACGAAGACAAAUACCGCAUGUUCUCACUUAGAAGUGGGAGCUGAACAGUGUAUACACAUGGACAUACAGUGUGGAAUAAUAGACACUGGAGAUUCGAAAGGGUGGCAGGGUGGGAAGGAGGUGAAGAAUAAGAAAUUAUUUAAUGGCUACAAUACACACUGUUGGAGUGACAGUUACACUAAAAGCCCAGGCUGCACCACUAAAUUAAAUAUCCAUGUAACAAAAUUGCACUUUCAACCCUUAAAUGUGUACAAAUAAAAAAAAGAACAUUUCUAUUCUUUCCUCUCCUGCUUCAUUUCUACAUGUUAAAUCCUAUUUAGCAUUCAAGUCUUGGAUCAAAUAUGCUGCUACAAAGCCUUCUUUGGGAUUCCG